ACGUUGUAGAACCAGGCUUGAGGAAGUUCUAGAACCAGGCUUCAGGAAGAUCUAGAACCAGGCUUCAGGAAGUUCUAGAACCAGGCUUCAGGAAGAUCUAGAACCAGGCUUGGGGCCGUUUUAGCUGUGAUGGAACCUGACCUUCAAUCUAUCAGAAACCUUGUCGUUUUAACUCUUGAGAGACUGGAGGAGAUGGAGGAAGAGGAGGAGGAAUAGAGGAGGAGGAGGAGGAGGAGGGUGUGUUUUCUAGCUGUCAAUAGACAAGCUAACUGUCUGCAAUAAUUGCCCUCUGAUGCUCCAAGAACUGAGAGAGGGUUUCCGAGGCUGGAAUACAACUGUACUUUUGACGUUGUUUUGUUGCUGAUUAUUACAACGGUCAAACAUUGUCCUGAAGGAUGUUCCCUGUCGUCGAAAAAAUAAACAUUUUUUUUUAUUCCUGAGCCGAAGGUGUCUGGUGUUUCUUCACAGAGCCCCUUGUGGGAUAACAACUAUUGACUGUGUUCUCAGCAGUCCCCACAGGAUGGCGCCAGACUAACAUGUCUUUAAUAUUGGCUGUAUUCUCAGCAGUCCCCACAGGAUGGCGCCAGAGAGCAACAUGGCUUUAAUAUUGACUGUAUUCUCAGCAGUCCCCACAGGAUGGGGCCAGAGAGCAACAUGUCUUUAAUAUUGACUGUAUUCUCAGUAGUCCCCACAGGAUGGCGCCAGAGAGCAACAUGUCUUUAAUAUUGACUGUAUUCUCAGUAGUCCCCACAGGAUGGCGCCAGAGAGCAACAUGUCUUUAAUAUUGACUGUAUUCUCAGUAGUCCCCACAGGAUGGCGCCAGAGAGCAACAUGUCUUUAAUAUUGACUGUAUUCUCAGUAGUCCCCACAGGAUGGCGCUAGAGAGUAAGAUAUCUUUAAUAUUAACUAUAUACUCAGCAGUCCCCACAGGAUGGCGCUAGAGAGCAACAUGUCUUUAAUAUUGACUGUAUUCUCAGUAGUCCCCACAGGAUGGCGCCAGAGAGCAACAUAACUGAGGUGUAUAAAUCCAUCAUUUACUCCAAACACUGUUGAGUUCCUAUUUGGUCUUAAAAUCAAAGUCGUAGUUUAGUUGUGUGCAAGUCAGUUAAGAACACAUUUUUAUUUUCAAUGCUGGUCUAGGAACAGUGGGUAAACUGGUCUAGGAACAGUGGGUUAACUGGCCUAGGAACAGUGGGUAAACUGGUCUAGGAACCGUGGGUAAACUGGUCUAGGAACAGUGGGUUAACUGCCUUGUUCAGGGGCAGAACAAGGAUCGGAUAGUGUCGAGCAGAGUAGGGUGGGGUAGGUUAAGGUAGGUUAAGGUAGGUUAGGGUAGGUUAAGGUAGGGUAGGUUAGGUUAAGGUAGGGUCGGUUAAGGUAUGGUAGGUUAAGGUAGGGUGAGGUAGGGUAGGUUAAGGUGGGGUAGGUUAAGGUAGGGUAGGUUAAGGUAGGUUAGGUUAAGGUUAGGGGUUAUAUCUGUAUAGUGUAGAGCAGAGUAGGGUAGGUUAAGGUAGGGUAGGUUAAGGUGGGGUAGGUUAAGGUAGGGUAGGUUAAAGUGGGAUAGGUUGAGGUAGGGGGUUAUAUCUGGAUAGUGUAGAGCAGAGUAGGGUAGGUUAUGGUAGGGUAGGUCAAAGUGGGGUAGGUUAAGGUUAGGGGUUAUAUCUGUAUAGUGUAGGUUAGGGUAGGUUAAGGUUAGGGGUUAUAACUUGAUAGUGUAGAGCAGGGUAGGUUAAGGUAGGGUAGGUUAAGGUAGGGUAGGUUAAGGUAGGGUAGGUUAAGGUAGGGUAGGUUAAGGUAGGGUAGGUUAAGGUAGGGUAGGUUAAGGUAGGUUAGGUUAAGGUAGGGUAGGUUAAGGUAGGUUAGGUUAAGGUAGGGUAGGUUAAGGUAGGGUAGGUUAAGGUAGGGUAGGUUAAGGUAGGUUAGGUUAAGGUAGGGUAGGUUAAGGUAGGGUAGGUUAAGGGGCUUAUAUCUGGCUGAGAGAGAGGAAUUUCUGGUAGUAACUCUUGGUCACAUCAAUCAUCAGGUCCUGGGUACAUUCUGGGAGCUCUCCUGAAAACAGACCU